rnacentral:misc_RNA from 1 species
GAUGAAGAACGCAGCGAAAUGCGAUAAGUAAUGUGAAUUGCAGAAUUCAGUGAAUCAUCGAAUCUUUGAACGCAUCUUGCGCUCCUUGGUAUUCUGAGGAGCAUGCCUGUUUGAGUGUCAUUAAAUUCUCAACUACACUGACUUUGAAUUGGUGUGGCUUGAAUUUGGGGGGAAAAUUGUUGUGGGCUUUUUGUAUAGUCUGCUCCCCUGAAAUUGAUUAGCGGUACCUUUGUGGAACUGUCUACAGGUGUGAUAAUUAUCUACAUCUUAGACAUCUGCUGGAAUGCUGCUUUCUAAACCUUACUUGUAUUGACAAUCUUGACCUCAAAUCAGGUAGGACUACCCGCUGAACUUAAGCAUAUCAAUAAGCGGAGGA